UUUAAAGUCUAAUCUGCCCUAUGAGGAGUUAAAUGGCCGCGGUAUCUUGACCGUGCAAAGGUAGCAUAAUAAUUAGUUUUUUAAUUGAAAGCUGGAAUGAAUGAUUGGACGAGAAAAUAACUGUCUCAAUUUAAUUUUAUUAGAAUUUUAUUUUUAAGUAAGAAAGCUUAAAUUUUAUUAAAAGACGAGAAGACCCUAUAGAGUUUUAUAAUUAAUUAAUUAUUAAUUUUUUAGUAUAUUUUUAUUAGUAUUUUAUUGAUUAUUUUGUUGGGGCGAUAGAAAAAUAUAAUAAACUUUUUUUAGUAUUUAUACAUUAAUUUAUGGUUUUAUGAUCCAUUAUUUAUGAUUAAAAGAUUAAGUUACCUUAGGGAUAACAGCGUAAUUUUUUUUUAGAGUUCUUAUCGAAAGGAAAGAUUGCGACCUCGAUGUUGGAUUAAAAUUAAAGCUAGGUGUAGGAGCUUGGUAAUUAGGUCUGUUCGACCUUUAAAAUUUUACA
rnacentral:rRNA from 1 species